rnacentral:rRNA from 1 species
GACGAACGCUGGCGGCGUGCUUAACACAUGCGAGUCGAGCGGUAAGGCCUCUUCGGGGGUACACGAGCGGCGAACGGGUGAGUAACACGUGGGUGACCUGCCCUCAGCUCUGGGAUAAGCCUGGGAAACUGGGUCUAAUACCGGAUAUGACCACAUGUUGCAUGGUGUGUGGUGGAAAGUUUUUUCGGCUGGGGAUGGGCCCGCGGCCUAUCAGCUUGUUGGUGGGGUGAUGGCCUACCAAGGCGACGACGGGUAGCCGGCCUGAGAGGGCGACCGGCCACACUGGGACUGAGACACGGCCCAGACUCCUACGGGAGGCAGCAGUGGGGAAUAUUGCGCAAUGGGCGGAAGCCUGACGCAGCGACGCCGCGUGGGGGAUGACGGCCUUCGGGUUGUAAACCUCUUUCGACCGGGACGAAGCGUAAGUGACGGUACCGGUAGAAGAAGCACCGGCCAACUACGUG